rnacentral:rRNA from 1 species
AUUGAACGCUGGCGGCAGGCUUAACACAUGCAAGUCGAGCGGAGAUGAGGUGCUUGCACCUUAUCUUAGCGGCGGACGGGUGAGUAAUGCUUAGGAAUCUGCCUAUUAGUGGGGGACAACAUUCCGAAAGGAAUGCUAAUACCGCAUACGUCCUACGGGAGAAAGCAGGGGAUCUUCGGACCUUGCGCUAAUAGAUGAGCCUAAGUCGGAUUAGCUAGUUGGUGGGGUAAAGGCCUACCAAGGCGACGAUCUGUAGCGGGUCUGAGAGGAUGAUCCGCCAAACUGGGACUGAGACACGGCCCAGGCACCUACGGGAGGCAGCAGUGGGGAAUAUUGGACAAUGGGGGGAACCCUGAUCCAGCCAUGCCGCGGGUGUGAAGAAGGCCUUAUGGUUGUAAAGCAAUUUAAGCGAGGAGGAGGCUACUGAGACUAAUACUCUUGGAUAGUGGACGUUACUCGCAGAAUAGGCACCGGCUAACUCUGUGCCAGCCGCCGCAGUAAAAC